GUUACGAAAGAAUCUUCAAUGUAGAUAGCGCUUCAUGUUUCCGUAAAUGUCCUUUUGCUGGCGGUACAAUAAUCGAGCAAAAUGACGGAAGGUGCAGUUACGAUUAGAACUAGAAAGUUUAUGAGCAAUCGGCUAUUAUGUCGGAAGCAAAUGGUUGUAGAUGUUUUUCAUCCUGGCCAUCCGUCAGUUCGCAAAACAGAAAUAAGAGAAAAACUAGCCAAGAUGUAUAAAGUUACACCAGAUGUGGUAUUCGUAUUUGGUUUUCAAACUAACUUUGGUGGUGGCAAAUCUACUGGAUUUGCAUUAAUCUAUGAUACAUUGGAUUACGCAAAGAAAUUUGAACCAAAAUAUAGGUUAGCAAGGCAUGGACUCUUCGAAAAACAAAAGCAAACAAGGAAACAACGUAAAGAACGUAAGAACAGGAUGAAGAAAGUUAGGGGUACAAAGAAGAGUAAAGUAGGAGCUGCAGCUAAAAAGGGAAAGAAGUAGACAAAUGCUCAUCAUUUGUACUACAAGCCUCGAGAGGGAACUUUAUUAUGAUGCUCAUACAUGUAAAACCACAAGAUAUCAUGAAGACCACGAUUUGUCUAACAUCGACGUAAAAAUUAUUAUAAUAAUAUAUUGCUAAAGAAUAAUGAUUAUGAUAAGUUUUACGGAAUAAACGUGUACUCUUCCUGAUAAAAAAGAUGUAAUGCUGUAUAUUUCUUUUCACUCCUCAUGCUGUUACACAAAAAAGCCAUACAUUUGUGAAUAUAUGUACUCUAAGAAUGCAAAAUAGUUUAUUUUAAUAAAAAAGAAUCACACAUGUUUUUAAGAAA